rnacentral:rRNA from 1 species
AGCGACCGCUUUUGGAGUUCGAUUAAGCCAUGCGAGUCGAGAGCCUUAGGGGCUCGGCAUACUGCUCAGUAACACGUGGAUAACCUGCCCUAUUGUCUGGAAUAACCUCGGGAAACUGAGAACAAGGCCGGAUAGCCCACAAUGCCUGGAACGGUUUGUGGGUGAAGAUAGGAUGGGUCUGCGGCGUAUCAGGUCGUAGGGGGUGUAAUGGACCUCCUAGCCAUCGACGCGUACGGGUGUUGGGAGACAUAGCCCGGAGAUGGAUUCUGAGACACGAAUCCAGACCCUACGGGGUGCAGCAGGCGCGAAAACUUCACACUGCAGGAAACUGUGAUGAGGGAACUCCAAGUGCUAUCACUAUGUGGUAGCUUUUCUUGACUAUUAAUCGGUCAUGGAAUAAGGGCUGGGAAAGACCGGUGCCAGCCGCCGCGGUAAUACCGGCAGCUCAAGUGGUCGUCGCUUUUAUUGGGCCUAAAACGUCCGUAGCCUGUUUGGUAAAUCUGUGGGUAAAUCAACCAGCUUAACUGGUUGAAUUCUGCAGAGACUGCCAGACUAGGGACCGGGAGAGGUGUGGGGUACUCUAGGGGUAGGGGUAAAAUCCUGUCAUCCUUAGAGGACCACCAGUUGCGAAGGCGCCACACUGGAACGGAUCCGACGGUCAGGGACGAAGCCUAGGGGCACGAACCGGAUUAGAUACCCGGGUAGUCCUAGGUGUAAACGCUGUGAACUUGGUGUCGGGGAUCCGUAAUGGGUCCUCGGUGCCGGAGUGAAGAUGUUAAGUUCACUGCCUGGGGAGUACGGUCGCAAGGCUGAAACUUAAAGGAAUUGGCGGGGGAGCACUGCAACGGGAGGAGCGUGCGGUUU